rnacentral:rRNA from 1 species
GACGAACGCUGGCGGCGUGCUUAACACAUGCCAGUCGAACGGAAAGGCCCUGCUUUUGUGGGGUGCUCGAGUGGCGAACGGGUGAGUAACACGUGAGUAACCUGCCCUUGACUUUGGGAUAACUUCAGGUAACUGGGGCUAAUACCGGAUAGGAGCUCCUGCUGCAUGGUGGGGGUUGGAAAGUUUCGGCGGUUGGGGAUGGACUCGCGGCUUAUCAGCUUGUUGGUGGGGUAGUGGCUUACCAAGGCUUUGACGGGUAGCCGGCCUGAGAGGGUGACCGGCCACAUUGGGACUGAGAUACGGCCCAGACUCCUACGGGAGGCAGCAGUGGGGAAUAUUGCACAAUGGGCGGAAGCCUGAUGCAGCAACGCCGCGUGCGGGAUGACGGCCUUCGGGUUGUAAACCGCUUUCGCCUGUGACGAAGCGUGAGUGACGGUAAUGGGUAAAGAAGCACCGGCUAACUACGUG